AGCGCGGCACAGCCACACAGCCAGCCCAGCAGCACAAGGGCAAGCAGGCGGCUUCUGGGUCCUGAUCUUCGGAGGCAGCCGCAUUGAAAUGCUCUUGGCCUUGAUACUUCUUCCCAGUGCGUCCCUGAUCCAGAGGUCUGGCUGCUGUGUUGCUCUUCAGUUGUUGUGCUUUGUGUGUUGUCGGUCCAGCUUGCCUCAGGCCGGAGUCAGUGUUUCUGAAGUGGGAGGGAGCCUGCUGUUUACAGGGCAGUGACAGCGUCUGAGAAGGAGUCCUUUUACAUUCUGUGAUUGAGGCUGCUCAAGACCAGUGUUUUUCCCCCCCUGCUGUAAAUAUAGCAGACAGAGCCAUGCUGAAAGGGGGCACCUCCAAAGUGGGGCUGCCCAAGCCUGGGCUUCAAGAAAGGGCCAAGCAAGCCUCGCUUGCCCCUUCUACCACCUCAUCCAUCACAGCGACAGGUAUAAAGACCUCCAGAUCCUCCAAUACCCUGGCCACAGAUCUGCGCCUCAGCAGGCUGAAGAGAGCCAGUAGUGAUGAUGCCCUGACCAAACCUUCCAUGGGGCCAGCAGCCUCAGUCUCCCGCAUGAAGAAGACUGUCACUGCCGGGGCCAUCUCUGACCUGGCGGACCCAAGACCUCGCAGCCUCUCGGGUGUCCAGUCAGGUUCCAAGAAGUCCGGUAUCCCUGCCCCCAGGGAGAUCCCUCCCGCCAUGAGCAGAGACCGCGUGUCACUGAGGGACCAGCUAAAGACCUCCACAACCAAGAAAAUGGUUGCCUGUGCCAGCACCUCUAGCUUGGCCACCCUGGCAGCCAAGCAUCAGCGAGGCUCCACCGCCACCGCAAAGCCCAGGGUGGAUGCUGAGAGCUCGGAUAGAGGCUUUCUGGAGGGCCAGGUUAAGGAGUUGCUGGCUGAGGCCAAAGCCAAGGAGUUAGAGAUCAGCAAGCUGAGGAUGGAGCUGCAGCGCUGUCGAGGGAAAGUCUUGUCCCCCUCACCCCACAACACCCCUUCUACCUCACCCGAGGGUGCGCUUGAGCAUGGCCAAGGCCCACCCCAGCAGGCAACUGACGCCCAGGCCCUGGUGGGGGAGCUGAGGGAGAAGAACAGGAAGUUCCAGAGGGAGCUAGCAGCUCUGAGAGAGGAGAACCAGGACCUGAAAGAGAAGCUUCUCUCCCUUGAGGCUUUGCCUGUCUCUCCUCUUUCCAGCAACACUACCGCCACAACCACCACCAGCCCAUCCAAGCCUUUUGUCAACGGCCUCCCCUCAGACAACAACACCAGUUCCCCAGCCAAGUCGCUCACGCCUAGCCCGCUCAAAACCUCCGCAUCCUCUGGCAGUGACAUCACCAAGGGCUCUCCCUCGCCUGACUCCUCAGAGUUUGAGAAGCUCCCAUCCCGGUCUGACUCCAUUGGCAGCGGUGGCAAAGGGGUGGGGAAGGGUCUGGGUCGCGAAGCCUCGGUGGAGAGCCUGACGGAGCAGAUCCAGAAGAUGGAGGAGAGUCACCACAGCACGUCCGAGGAGCUGCAGGCUACACUACAAGAGCUGGCCGACCAGCAGCAGGUGGUCCAGGAGCUGACGGCUGAGAACGAGCGCCUAGCCGAGGAGAAGGGCCUCCUGCAGGCAUCGCUGCAACAGCAGAGGGAGAGGGUGGAGCUGCUGGCCCAGAAGAACGAGACACUGGCCGGGAGGCUGCAGGAGCAGGCCCAGGCCCACAGCGGGAACGAGGGCCGGGCGGCCGACCUGGAGCAGCGCUACGCUGACCUGGUGGAGAGCUCUCGCUUCGAGAGGGAGAAGCUGGUGGGUAUCCAGCAGCAACUGACGGGAAGCCUCAGGGCCCUUGAGCAAGAGCACCAGGAGGCCCAGGGACUGGUGAGGUCCCUCACGGAGGAGAGGGACGGCCUACAGGGACGACUGGACCGAGAGGCAAAGGCCAGGGGGGAGACGUCACGGGCGGCUGAGGAACAUAGGGCUGCAGCGGACGCCCUGAGGUUGGAAAAUGGACGGCUGAAGGCCCAGGUGGACACUGAGAGACAGAAGGUUGGGGAGCUGAAGGCCAUGCAGAGUGCUGGGGACAGCACAGAGCUGCAACAGCUGCUGAAAGCAGCCCACACUGAGAGAGACAGACUGGAGGGGGAGGUAACGGAGCUACGGCACGAGCUGCUACAAGCCCUGACUAACACUGAAAAUGCCCAAGGACUGCUGUCCAAGGUGGAGGCUGAGUGCCAGCAGUUGGCAGAACGAGCUGAAAGGCGGGAGAAGGAGCUGAUUGGACGGAUCAGUGCCCUGGAGGAAGUGGCGCAGCAGGCCGACACCCAGAUCAAGGACCUGAAGGAGACCAUCUUUGAGCUGGAGGACCAGGUGGAGCAGCAGAGGGCUGUCCACCUCCACACCAACCAGACAAUCCUGGACCUAGAGAACCAACUCAAGAAGCUGGAAGAGCAGAAAGCUGAGGUGGAGAGGCAACGGAAGAUUCUGAGUAAACAGAUGAAGGAUGAAACCGAGGAGUGGCGUCGGUUCCAGGCAGACCUCCAGACAGCCGUGGUGGUGGCCAACGACAUCAAGGUAGAAGCCCAGCAGGAGAUCCGCUCUCUAAGGAGAAGAUUGCAGGAGGAGCAGGGCCGCAGUGCCAAGCUCUCGUCAGACCUGGAGCAGCUGCAGGGAGUCAGGUCGUUGCAUGGUGACUCAGAGGGCUUUUCGGAUGCUGGUGGCAGUCCUCACUGGUGCGGCAUCUCCAUGACCCAGGCUCCUUCCUCAUCCAUCGACACCAGCAGCAACACUGCCGCUGCCGAGUCCGGAGCCACCGUCAAAUCCCUCAUCAAGUCCUUUGACACACCCGCACCAAAUGGACCUGGGCCAGGACAUAAGGUACAGAUGCACCCUUCAUCUAGAAGUCCUCUGAGUGGGAUACCUAUUCGCACAGCUCCUGCGGCGGCGGUCUCCCCCAUCCAGCGGCAUUCAUCUAUCAAACCGCUUUCAAAGACCCUGGAGAAAAGGAUCAACCAUGGAGAUUUCUGUCAUCCAGAUAAGUAUGGAGGCUCUGGGGAUGAGCUGAAGCCCAACAGCCUUAUGAGAAAGAGUCCUUCCCUGGAGUCUGUAAUUAAGUCCCCAGCAACCAUCAGCAGCCGGAGCCACUCUGUGGCCUACAGCAGGAACAACAGCAAGCUCAGUGUGGAAAGAACGGACCCUUUGGCUGCACUGGCGCGGGAGUAUGGGGGUUCUAAAAGGAACGCUCUACUGAAGUGGUGCCAGAAGAAAACAGAAGGCUAUCCGAACAUCGAUGUGACCAACUUCAGCAGCAGUUGGAGUGAUGGCCUGGCGUUCUGUGCUCUUCUACACACAUACCUGCCUGCACACAUCCCUUACCAGGAACUCAUCAGUCAAGACAAGGGCCGGAAUCUGUCCCUGGCGUUUCAGGCUGCAGAAAGCAUUGGCAUCCAACCCUCCCUGCCCCGUCAAAGCUCUUCUCCAUCCUGUCGCCUCGGCGGUGGAAAAAGCCUCCCCUUGAAGCUCGGACAGCAGAGUCCCUGGUCAUUCUUCUGAAAACCUACCUUUUUAAAAAUGUAUCUGAAAUAACUCCAAAAUGUCCCACCACAUGCUUUUCUUUCUUGCAAUUUAUUCAUGGUUCAUGAAAUAAUUUUUUCUCUCCCUUCUGACACUGACUUAACUGAUAGCUACUUUGACUAAGGUUUACUUGGUAUUGGAUUGGACUAUUUUUACAGUCCUGUAUUGGUUCCCAAACUUUUGUUUUACUAUAACCCUUUUAAUCAUGUAAAUUCAUACUCAUCGUUUUCAUUUUAUGUAAUAUAUGAGUGCCAUGCCAACGCAACUAUUUUUGCUUGACACACACAGGAACCUUGCUUACCCAAUGAGAACGUUAUUCCAUUAGGAACAAAUUGGGGCAUGUUCUUGGCUUAUUAUCGGUGUCAAGGAUUGGUUCUCAACUUCGGAACCCACCCAACACAACAUCCCCACGUGGUUUCACAUCCCCAUCAUCUUAACCCUUCAGCCCACUCAUUGAGUCCAGAUGCCCCCCCCCUCUCUCUCUCGCUCCCUGGAUCAGAAUGUUAAUGACAAAGACAAACCACCCAUGUAACGUGUGCUGCUCAAAGCAUUCAACACUGUUGACACGGGCACCAGCACACAAUCAGAGACAAGCACACACAGUAACCACUAAUGUAGAAAACCUGAACAGACAUGCAGUAUCAUUUAAGGUCAAAGUCUCUUUUGAGGUCAAAUGAAUUCGGUCUAGGGGUAUCUAUCUAUUUUUAAUUACUGCUUUGACAGCUUUUUAUUUGAUUUGGCAUUACCUUCUGUUAUUAGAUUUGCUUCAAUGACUCACAUACAGGUCAUACAACAUACAGUGUAGAUCAAACAACUGCAUUUUGCUUGUUCUCUGUCUGUCUGUUUGUUUGUGCAUACAUGGGCCUGGGCAUCUGCGUGUGAAUCAGGAAAUUAUACAUUGCAGUUUUGACUUGGCCUGACUCCAAACCUGUGGCCAUUCUUAAACCUUAACUUUAAGGUAUCUAUGAAGAACUACUGAAUUCACAUAGCAAGCUGUCCUAUAUUCUCCCCCCCUCGUUUACACUACAGUUGGGGAAGGUAAAUAUUUCCUUCAAACAUGCAUUCUGAUGUCAAACAAGCCUGGCAUACCAAGCAUCACAUGCAUUUGUGAAUACUACAGAACAGCACGGGUCAUAAUUAUUUAGCAUAAGAUUAUUACCCUAAGGUUGUUAAUCUGGAUCCAAGCCAUGCAAACCUUUGUCCUUUAUUCACAUCUUCUGAAUUGAUGAUGUCUGUGGACAGUAAACAGUGUGAGAGCAACAAACUUGUUUUGACUCAAUAUUACCCCUCAGGGUCAUGUUUUUGCACACACAAAUAGAUUGGAUUAGAUAGAGGGAUUAAUCUGCUAUACCUCAAAUUCCAUUUCCAAUAAAAAUCCUCAGGCCAGCCAUAAUUUAUCUUUAUUCAUCUGAAUAUAUUUGAUAAUCUAGAGAGGAAAAAGCUAAAUUAUUAUAUAAAUGCAAUAUUAACUGUGUGAUAAAUGAAUAACAAAAUGAAAACUUCCUGGUUGAGCAAGCCAUCUGGUAACAAGCAGAAUAGCUUAGCGAGACUGCAGUUUUGCUAGUUAUGUAUGUCUCGAUCUUCAACUCUCCUGAACCCACACUGUAGGAAUAAGACCACAAUGCUGAAGAUUUUUUUUUUUAAAUGCGCACAUGUGUCUUACAUUUACCCCUCAGCUACAUUGCAGUCCAUAAGUGUUUGGACCAUGACACACAUUUUGUUGUUUUGGCUCUGUUCUCAGUAUAUUGUAUUUGAAAUGAUGCAAGGACGAUUGGUUAAAUUUGAUGGUAUUUUCAUCCACAUCAGAUAAACCAUUUUGAGCAAACAGGACAUUUUGUAUAUUUGUCAUGUUAUUUAAGGGUAUCAAAACUAUUUUGACAAUUGGCUUCAUAGCUGUUUCUUGCUAGGCAUUUCUAUUUGUAUAAACAUCAUUAGUGCAUGUACUAGAGUGUUGCCAAUGUCUAGUCUUGAUUUUAUUUGCAUGCAAAAUCGAUUGCUUGUUGACAAGACAAGGACCAAAGAUAUGUCAAUGGAACUCAACCUGGCCAUUAUGAAGCAGACAAAUCCAAAUAAAUCGAUCAAAGACAAAUACAGCAUUAAGAGUGCCAAAAUCAAUUGUUUGGUACAUUAAGAAGAAGAAAGAAAAUCACUGGUUAGUUAAGCAAUGGCAAAUGACCUGCUCGACCAAAUAAGACUUUUGCAGUGGACAGAAGUGAAACUGGAACACUCUCCAGGAGAUAGGAGUGUAUGUGUUAGGCACUACCAUGCACCAGUCAAACUCAAGAGGCUGGACUGCAAGGUGCAAAAACAUUAGUUACUGUAGCCUCAAAAACAGGAAUUGUCUUAAAAUACCAAAUACAGACUGCAGAGUUCUGGAAAAAAUAUAUAUUGUGGACAGAUGAGACAAAUAUUAGGUGCAGGGGGGUGUUAUAAUUUGGGCAUCUAAGGCCAAGUCAAUCACCCAACACAAAUGAAUUAAUUCAGUUAAGCAUGCGGUUUACUUGCAUGCGGAACACAAAAAGGCCACUAAACAUACUGGAAAUGGCUGCAGUUUAGGCCUGGCAGGGCAUCACCAGAGAAGAUUCCUAGCAUAUGCAAUGUCUGUCUGUUGCAGACUUCAGGCAGUGAUUGAAUGCAAAGGAUUUGCAACCAUUUACUAAAUAUGACAACUUUGUUUAAGAUUAUAUUAAUAUGUCUAUGUAUAACAGGUUCUGUAGGUCCUAAAGGGUUCAUGGUCUAUGGAUGUAAAACCCUCAAAUUAAAGCUGACAGUCUGCACUUCAACCUCUUUGACUUCUCAAGUCCAAUGUGCUGGAAUACAGAGCCAAAAUAUCUAAAAUGUCUGUCACUGUCCAAAUACUUAUGGUCUGCACUGUGUAUUAAAUUGACUUAAUCAUGUU